CUGGUGUUUGGCCUACUGAAGAUGGGAGAUGUGGUCAGUAAGCUGAAAGCAACAGCACCAAACAGAUCAUAGCUGAAGUGUGCUUCAAGCUCUCUGUGUGACCCUUCAAACUGCAUGGAAUAGACAGUGGUAUUGUUCUCUACAAUGGCCUUAUUUUGAAGCCUUUCUUUUUUUUUUUUAAUAUAACAAUAAAUUUGAGUUACAUUUCAGACACUUUGUUUGAAAAGCAUUUGAUACUGGCCUAACUCCCAAUGUAGUCAGCAGGAACUUCAAGUCACAGAGUGGCCACCAACCAAACUCACCUCAGUGUGUCACCAGCUGUGGUGAGGAAGAGCAGUCAUACUGGCAAGUGAGGUAGUGGUGCCAACGCUUCAUCUCUCCAGUGCUUCAGUUACCUCUGCUCAAGAGAGGUAAAUGGCCUCAUGAAAACUGACUCUCGUGACUAAUCCCCUUCUCCUUGGUGUAACGGUGACUAAGGUCUCUGGAGUGGUACCACAUCUUCUGGUAUUACCUCAAAAUCAGGGCCACAAAUAGCAGACUUAAAACUGUAAAAGCAAUGGUGCGACUGUCAUCUUAGUCAGAAGCGAUGUUGUGACUGUGCGUGUACAUAGGGAGAAGUCUGGGCUCAGAAGCUGACUCACACCUUGAUGUUCCUGUAGAUGGCAGUGGUACAUGUUCUGGAUGCAGGGCACCUCCAAAAGCUCCUUUUGCCUUCUGAUAAAUGGUGGUUAAAGCUUUUGCUGAGGUAAGAAGUAUUUCCUUGAAUUGUGCUUUAGGAAUGACAGCAGAUGGUGUGAGUGCUUACCUCAUGCCAGCUGUCUGCCAAAAGUGGCUUUUUCUGAAGUUCCCUCUGAGAGGACAAGAGAGGGCAAACGGGAACUCUGACAUUGGCAUAAAAGGCGGUGAG
ensembl:lncRNA